GAACUGCGAUAAGUAAUGUGAAUUGCAGAAUUCAGUGAAUCAUCGAGUCUUUGAACGCACAUUGCGCCCCCUGGCAUUCCGGGGGGGCAUGCCUGUCCGAGCGUCAUUGCUGCCCUUCAAGCCCGGCUUGUGUGUUGGGUCGUCGUCCCCCCCGGGGGACGGACCCGAAAGGCAGCGGCGGCACCGUGUCCGGUCCUCGAGCGUAUGGGGCUUUGUCACCCGCUCGAUUAGGACCGGCCGGGCGCCCGCCGGCGUCAAACCACAAUCUUUCUAAGGUUGACCUCGGAUCAGGUAGGGAUACCCGCUGAACUUAAGC
rnacentral:misc_RNA from 1 species